GAAAAAAAUAUAAAAAAAAACCAGCAAGAACUCGGAGAUUUUUAAAUUAAAUUAUCAUUCAUAUCGAUUGUCAUCACUAGAAUACUCAGUGACAAUUGGUGGUUUGUUUGAUAUACUGUUGCUCUAAUGACGUAUAGAACACAAAAAUAUAUAGAUAUAUAUUGUGAUAAUAGUAUAAUUCAGCUAUAUCUAUAGACAUAUGUGUAUAUAAAUAUACGUUGGUAAAAAUGUAUAGAAACGUAACCUCUUUAGUUGGAGGACGGCAAGACACUGGACUGAAAACGCAACACUGAAGACUGAGAACUGAGAACUGAGGAUAGAAAAUCCAAUGGAGUAAAGACUUGACUUACUGAACCCAGUGCUGGUGCUGGUGCUGGUGGAGAACUAACCAGAACUAACUACUGUACUGUUUGACAUGCAGUCUUAUGUCUUUACGUCAUAUUAUCAACACAACUCAACACAUUAUUUUUUAUUUAUUUUACUUACAUGCAUGCAUGCAUAUGUAGAAACAACACCAAAGCACAUUUUCUUAAUAUAUAAUAAGUUGUGGGUGUAGCGGGUAAAUUUGUAACAUGAUCAUCCGCUGAUCAGUACUUUGAUAAAAUCCUACGCGUACUUAGAAACUUAUUUUUAAAAAAAAAUAUUUAUUGUUCUGUAAUUCUUAUUAAUUAUACUGGUAAUCUUAUUAUCUUAUAUAUAUGUUUAAUAAUUGUCCUCAAUCUUAAUUUUAAAUAAUUAGUAAUUAAUGUUUUAUUAAUUACAUAAUUUUUUAUUAGUACGUCCUUAAAAUUUAUUUUUAAUACACUUUGUUUUAUAAAUUUGUCCUCAAUUAUUGCUUGUACAAUUAAUUAUUACUUAUAAAAUGUACAAAUAUAGCUAAAACAAAUAUCUAUAUAUAUAUUUAUGUUUAUAGAGCGAAUAAUAUAUAUUUUUUAAAGCAUUCGUUUAAAAUAAAUUUGUUAAUAAAUUAUUAGACUAGAUGAUUAUAUAAUAAAAUGAUAUAAAAUACUUUUGUAAAAAAUUAAAAUUAAAAAAAAAUUUAUACUGAAGGUACUCUUAAUACUGUUAACACUAAAUGUGCGCUUAUAUAUUAAUUAUAAUAUAUAUACUGAAAAAAAUCGAGAGAAUUUGGAGUGAUUACGGAUUUUAUUUAUGAUACUGAAGUUAGCCGAGGUUUUAUAAUUUUUUGAUUUUUUUCAAAAUGAUAAAUUAUAAAGAAAGAAAAUAUUUUUAAAAAUUGCACCUGUAGUUUUUAAAAUUUUCUACAUGUGCAUAUUUUUAUUUUUUUGUAAUUUAUUUGUUGAAAAUAAAUCCGGAAAUUGUUAAUUUUUUGUUAACUUCAGGACCAUUUUUAUUUAAUUCCAAAUACUCUUCGUCACUCGGAGUUUCGGAGUUUUAAAAAAAAUCACUCCGCAUACGGAGUAAAUGGGGAGUUUAUUUUUUUUGCGGAGUAAUUUUGAAGUAAACUGGAUUUUAUUUGUCCGCAUUUACUCUGAUUCAGAAUUUUCAUACUAAAAUAACUUUUUAGAAGUGAAUUUUACUUCGAACCGGAGUUUAAAUAUUAAAUUAAAACUCCUCUUCGGAGUGAAUUUUACUCCAAGUUCCGCAUUUACUCCGCAUUGACUCUGUUAAUUUUUUACAGUUUAUGUAUGAUGAUGAUAAUAAUAAUGUGUGGAAAAAACUUAUGGAUAAAAAAAAGCUAAUGGCGGAGCUGCUUUACAUAAUUAUAAAUAAAAAAUAAUUAUGUAAUCUUUUCAGUUAAUAAAGUAUCAGUAAGAUAAGUUA